rnacentral:lncRNA from 1 species
AAAUUAAUUUCCACUUAAAAACCUGCUAAAACAAUGCCUUCAUAUUUUAAAGCUUGACUCCAGUGAAAAUCAUUUUCACAGGAAAACAUAAAAUUUCAAAAGCAUUAGGCUUCGAGUGCUCCCCCUGUGAACUGCUAAAACAGUUUAGCACAUAAUUAUUCACAUUAAGCACCGAUAACAACUUCAUAAAUAAUAUCCAAAUAUGAAGAUCACUCAUAUGUAAUUCCUCAAAAUCCUUAGAGCACCUAAAAAUGUAUCUAAAAAGCAAAUAAGUAUGAAACGCAGCGAAAAAUUAAAAUCGUGCGAUAAUCGUGCGAAUGGUUUUUAUGCCCAGAAUUGUUCAGAAACAAAGUCUGAUGUUUUUAAGCUGCAAAAUCCUUUAUAACUUUCACUUAACACUACGAAAAUUAUGAAAACCAACGCAAGUUUUGCCGAGUUUCUUUGUUUGAGUGAGUUAAAACAUUGGAUUCGAGAUAUUCAAAUUAAUUUCCACUUAAAAACCUGCUAAAACAAUGCCUUCAUAUUUUAAAGCUUGACUCCAGUGAAAAUCAUUUUCACAGGAAAACAUAAAAUUUCAAAAGCAUUAGGCUUCGAGUGCUCCCCCUGUGAACUGCUAAAACAGUUUAGCACAUAAUUAUUCACAUUAAGCACCGAUAACAACUUCAUAAAUAAUAUCCAAAUAUGAAGAUCACUCAUAUGUAAUUCCUCAAAAUCCUUAGAGCACCUAAAAAUGUAUCUAAAAGCAAAUAAGUAUGAAACGCAGCGAAAAAUUAAAAUCGUGCGAUAAUCGUGCGAAUGGUUUUUAUGCCCAGAAUUGUUCAAAAGCAAAGCCUGAUGUUUUAAGCUGCAAAAUCCUUUAUAACUUUCGCUUAACAGUAUGAAAAACUAAAACCAACGCAAGUUUUACCAAGUUUCUUUGUUUGAGUGAGUUUAAAACAUUGGAUUCAAGAUAUUCAAAUUUAUUUCCAUUUAAAAACCUGCUAAAACAAUGCUUUCAUAUUUUAAAGCUUGAGUCCAGUGAAAAUCAUUUUCAAAGGAAAACAUGAAAUUUCAAAAGCAUUAGGCUUCGAGUGCUCCCCCUAUAAACUGCUAAAACAAUUUAGCACACAAUUAUUCCAUUAAGCACCAAUAACAACUUCAUAAAUAAUAUCCAAAUAUGAAGAUAAUUCAUAUGUAAUUCCUUAAAAUCCUUAGAGCACCUAAAAAUGUAUCUAAAAGCAAAUAAGUAUGAAACACGACGAAAAAUUAAAAUCGUGCGAUAAUUGUGCGAAUGGUUUUUAUGCCCAGAAUUGUUCAAAACCAAAAGUCUGAUGUUUUAAACUUCGAAAUCCUUUAUAACUUACACUUAACACCAUGAAAAACAACAAGAAAAUUAAAAUUACGCGAAAUUUAUUUGAAUGUUUUUUAUGCCCAGAAUUGUUCGAAAACAAAGUCUGAUAUUUUGAGCUUCAAAAUCCUUUCUAAGUUACGCUUAAAACUGUGGAGAAAUAAAAAACCAACGCUACUUUUACCUUGUUUCAUUGUUUGAGCAGGUUUAAAACGUUCGAUUCAAUAGAUUCAAAUUCAUUUCCAUUUAAGAACCUUCUAAAACAAUUCUUUCAUAUUUUAAAGCUGGACUAUAGAGAAAAUCAUAUUCGAAGAGAAACAUAAAUUUUCAAAAGCAUUAGGCUUUUAGUUCUCCUUCUAUAAACUGCUAAAACAAGUUAGCAGACCACUAAUCACAUCAGGCGCCAAUAACAACUUCACAAAUAAUAUCGAAAUAUCAAGAUCAUUAACAUGCAAUCUCACAAGUUCCUUAGAGCACCUAGAAAAGUAUCUAAAAGGCAAUAAGUAUGAAACACAAUGAAAAAUUCAAAUCUUGCAAAAAUGGUUUUUAUGCCACAAUUUUGAAAAUUUGCAAAUGCUUUUUUAUGCCCAAAAUUGUUCAAAAAUGAAAUCAGAUGUUUUAAGCUUCAAAAUCCUUUAUAACUUACACUUAGCACUAUGAAAAAUUAAAACCAAUGCAAGUUUUACCAUGUUUCUUAAUUUGAGCAAUUUUAAAACAUCGGAUUCAAGAUAUUCAAAUUCAUUUUCGUUUAAAAUCCUGCCAAAACAAUGCUUUCGUAUUUUAAAGCUUGACUCAAGUGAAAAUCAUUUUCAAAGCAAAACAUAAAAUUCUAAAAGCAUUAGCCUCGAUUGCUCCCUUAUAAACUGCAAAAAUAAUUUAGCACACAAUUAAUCACAUCAAGCACCAAUAACAACUCCACAAAUAAUAUCCAAAUAUGAAGAUCAUUCAUAUGUAAUUCCUCAACUCCUUAGAGAGCCUAAAUUUGUAUCUAAAAGAAAAUAAGUAUGAACACGAUGAAAAAUUAAAAUCGUGCAAUAAUUGUGCGAAUGGUUUUUCUGCCCAGAAUUGUUUAGAAACAAAGUCUGAUGUUUUAAGCUGCAAAAUCCUUUGUAACUUUCGCUUAACACUAUGAAAAAUUAAAACCAACGCAUGUUUUACCAAGUUUCUUUGUUUGAGCAAGUUUAAAACAUUGCAUUCAAGAUUUUCAAAUUCAUUCCCAUUUAAAAACCUGCUAAAACAACGCUUUCUUAUUUUAAAGCUUGACUCCAGUGAAAAUCGUUUUCACAGCAAAACAUAAAAUUUCAAAAGCAUUAGGCUUCGAGUGCUCACCCUGUAAACUGGUAGAAAGCACAUAACAAUAUCCAACUUGACAAAUAAUAUCGAAAUAUGAAUUUUGAUUCAUAUGCAAUUCCUAACCAUCCUUAGAGCACCAAAAAAUGUAUCUAAAAGCAAAUAAGUAUGAAACACGAUGAAAAAUUAAAAUUGUGCAAUAAUUGUGCGAAUGGUUUUUAUGCCCAGAAUUGUUUAGAAACAAAGUCUGAUGUUUUUAGCUGCAAAAUCCUUUAUAACUUUCGCUUAACAGUAUGAAAAACUAAAACCAACGCAAGUUUUACCAAGUUUCUUUGUUUGAGUGAGUUUAAAACAUUGGAUUCAAGAUAUUGAAAUUUAUUUCCAUUUAAAAACCUGCUAAAACAAUGCUUUCUUAUUUUAAAGCUUGACUCUAAUGAAAAUCGUUUUCAAAGCAAAACAUAAAAUUUCAAAAACAUUAGGCUUCUAGUGCUCCCCCUGUAAACUGGUAGAAAGCACCUAACAAUAUCUAACUUGACAAAUAAUAUCCAAAUAUGAAUUUCAUAUUUAUGUAAUUCCUAAACAUCCUUAGAGCACCUAAAUAUGUAUGUAAAAGCAAAUAAGUACGAAAUACAAUAAAAUAUUAAAAUCGUGCAAUAAUUGUGCGAAUAGUUUUUAUGCCCAGAAUUGUUCAGAAACAAAGUCUGAUGUUUUAAGCUGCAAAAUCCUUUAUAACUUUCGCUUAACAGUGUGAAAAACUAAAACCAACGCAAGUUUUACCAAGUUUCUUUGUUUGGGUGUGUUUAAAACAUUGGAUUCAAGAUAUUCAAAUUCAUUUCCAUUUAAAAACCUGCUAAAACAUUUCUUUCAUAUUUUAAAGCUUUACUCCAGUGAAAAUCAUUUUCAAAGGAAAACAUAAAAUUUCAAAAGCAUUAGGCUUCGAGUGCUCCCCCUAUAAACUGCUAAAACAAUUUAGCACACAAUUAUUCACAUUAAGCACCAAUAACAAGUUCAUAAAUAAUAUCCAAAUAUGAAGAUCAUUCAUAUGUAAUUCCUCAAAAUCCUUAGAGCACCUAAAAAUGUAUCUAAAAGCAAAUAAGUAUGAAACACAACGAGAAAUUAAAAUCGUACGAUAAUUGUGCGAAUGGUUUUUAUGCCCAGAAUUAUUCGAAACCAAAAGUCUGAUGUUUUAAACUUCGAAAUCCUUUAUAACUUACACUUAACACCAUGAAAAGCAAGAACAAAAUUAAAAUCACGAGAAAAUUGUUCGAAUGUUUUUUAUGCCCAGAAUUGUUUGAAAACAAAUUCUGAUAUUUUGAGCUUCAAAAUCCUUUCUAAGCUUCGCUUAAAACUGUGGAAAAAUUAAAAAUCAAUGCUAGUUUUACCUCGUUUCAUUGUUUGAGCAGGUUUAAAACGUUCGAUUCAAUAGAUUCAAAUUCAUUUCCAUUUAAAAACUUUCUAAAACAAUUCUUUCAUAUUUUAAAGCUGGACUAUAGAGAAAAUCAUAUCCGAAGAAAAACAUAAAAUUUCAAAAGCAUUAGGCUUUUAGUGCUCCUUUUAUAAACUGCUAAAACAAGUUAGCAGACCACUAAUCACAUCAGGCACCAAUAACAACUUCACAAAUAAUAUCGAAAUAUCUAGAUCAUUAACAUGUAAUCUCACAAGUUCCUUAGAGCACCUAAAAAUGUACCUAAAAGCCAAUAAGUAUGAAACACAACGAAAAAUUCUAAUCUUGCAAAAAUGAUUUUUAUGCCACAAUUUUGAAAUUUUGCAAAUGCUUUUUUAUGCUCAAAAUUGUUUAAAAAUGAAAUCAGAUGUUUUAAGCUUCAAAAUCCUUUAUAACUUACACUUAACACUGUGAAAAAUUAAAACCAAUGCAAGUUCUACCAUGUUUCUUAAUUUGAGCAAUUUUAAAACAUCGGAUUCAAGAUAUUCAAAUUCAUUUCCGUUUAAAAACCUGCUAAAACAAUGCUUUCGUAUUUUAAAGCUUAACUCCAGUGAAAAUCAUUUUCAAAGCAAAACAUAAAAUUCUAAAAGCAUUAGGCUUCGAGUGCUCCUUUUAUGAACUGCUAAAAUAAUUUAGCACACAAUUAAUCAUGUCAGGCACGAAUAACAAUUUCACAAAUAAUAUCCAAAUAUUAAGCUCAUUCAUAUGUAAUUCCUCAACUCCUUAGAGCGCCUAAAUUUGUGUCGAAAAGAAAAUAAGUAUGAAUACAAUGAAAAAUUAAAAUCAUGCAAUAAUUGUGCGAUUGGUUUUUCUGCCCAGAAUUGUUCAAAAACAAAGUCUGAUGUUUUAAGCUGCAAAAUCCUUUAUAACUUUCGCUUAACACUAUGAAAAACUAAAACCAACGCAAGUUUUACCAAGUUUCUUUGUUUGAGUGAGUUUAAAACAUUGGAUUCAAGAUAUUCAAAUUCAUUUCCAUUUAAAAACCAGCUAAAACAAUGCUUUCAUAUUUUAAAGCUUAACUCCAGUGAAAAUCAUUUUCAAAGGAAAACAUAAAAUUUCAAAAGCAUUAGGCUUCGAGUGCUCCCCCUAUAAACUGCUAAAACAAUUUAGCACACAAAUUAUUCACAUUAAGCACCAAUAACAACUUCAUAAAUAAUAUCCAAAUAUGAAGAUCAUUCAUAUGUAAUUCUUCAAAAUCCUUAGAGCACUUAAAAAUGUGUCUAAAAGCAAAUAAGUAUGAAAAACAACGAAAAAUUAAAGUCAUGCAAUAAUUGUGCGAAUGAUUUUUAUGUCCAGAAUUGUUCAAAACCAAAAGUCUGAUAUUUUAAACAUCGAAAUCCUUUAUAACUUACACUUAACACCAUGAAAAACAACGACAAAAUUAAAAUCACGCGAAAAUUGUUCGAAAGUCUUUUAUAUCCAGAAUUGUUCGAAAACAAAGUCUGAUAUUUUGAGCUUCAAAAUCCUUUCUAAGUUACACUUAAAACAGUAGAAAAAUUAAAAACCAAUGCUAGUUUUACCUUGUUUCAUUGUUUGACCAGGUUUAAAACAUUCGAUUGAAAAAUGAAAUAGGUUGUUUUAAGCUUCAAAAUCCUUUAUAACUUACACUUAACACUGUGAAAAAUUAAAACCAAUGCAAGUUUUGCCAUGUUUCUUUAUUUGAGCAUGUUUAAAACAUCGGAUUCAAGAUAUUCAAAUUCAUUUCCGUUUAAAAACCUGCUAAAACAAUGCUUUCGUAGUUUAAAGCUUUACUCCAGUGAAAAUCAUUUUCAAAGCAAAACAUAAAAUUAUAAAAGCAUUAGGCUUCGAGUGCUCCCCUUAUAAACUGCUAAAAUAAUUUAGCACACAAUUAAUCACAUCAAGCACCAAUAACAACUUCACAAAUAACAUCCAAAUACGAAGAUCAUUCAUAUGUAAUUCUUCAACUCCUUAGAGCGCCUAAAUUUGUAUCUAAUAGAAAAUAAGUAUGAACACGAUUAAAAAUUAAAUCGUGCAAUAAUUGUGCGAAUGAUUUUUAUGCCCAAAAUUUUUCAGAAAAAAAGUCCGAUGUUCAUAAAGCUUCAGUGAAAAUCAUUUUCAAAGAAAAACAUAAAAUUUCAAAAGCAUUAGGCUUCGAGUGCUCACCCUAUAAACUAUUAAAACAAUUUAGCACACAAUUAUUCACAUUAAGCACCAAUAACAACUUCAUAAAUAAUAUCCAAAUAUGAAGAUCAUUCAUAUGUAAUUCCUCAAAAUCCUUAGAGCACCUAAAAAUGUAUCUAAAAGCAAAUAAGUAUGAAACACAGCGAAAAAUAAAAAUCGUGCGAUAAUUGUGCAAAUGAUUUUUAUGUCCAGAAUUGUUCAAAACCAAAAGUCUGAUAUUUUAAACUUCGAAAUCCUUUAUAACUUACACUUAACACCAUGAAAAACAACAACAAAAUUAAAAUCACGCGAAAAUUGUUUGAAUGUUUUUUAUGCCCAGAAUUGUUCGAAAACAAAGUUUGAUAUUUUGAGCUUCAAAAUCCGUUCUAAGUUACACUUAAAACAGUGGAAAAAUUAAAAACCAACGCUAAUUUUACCUUGUUUCAAUGUUUGAGCAGGUUUAAAACGUUCGAUUGAAAAAUGAAAUUGGUUGUUUUAAGCUUCAAAAUCAUUUAUAACUUAUACUUAACACUAUGAAAAAUUAAAACCAAUGCAAGUUUUACCUUGUUUCUUUAUUUGAGCAUGUUUAAAACAUCGGAUUCAAGAUAUUCAAAUUCAUUUUCGUUUAAAAACCUGCUAAAACAAUGCUUUCGUAGUUUAAACCUUUACUCCAGUGAAAAUCAUUUUCAAAGCAAAACAUAAAAUUAUAAAAGCAUUAGGCUUCGAGUGCUCCCCUGAUAAACUGCUAAAAUAAUUUAGCACACAAUUAAUCACAUGAAGCACCAAUAACAACUUCACAAAUAAUAUCCAAAUAUGAAGAUCAUUCAUAUAUAAUUCCUCAACUCCUUAGAGCGCCUAAAUUUGUAUCUAAAAGAAAAUAAGUAUGAACACGAUGAAAAAUUAAAAUCGUGCAAUAAUUGUGCGAAUGAUUUUUACGCCCAAAAUUGUUCAGAAAGAAAGUCUGAUGUUUUAAGCUCCAAAAUCCUUUAUAACUUGCAAUUAACACUAUGAAAAAUUAAAACCAAUGGGAAGUUUUAUAUGUUUCUUUGUUUGAGCAAGUUUAAAACAUUGGAUUCAAGAUUUUCAAAUUCAUUUCCAUUAAAAACCUUCUAAAACAAUGCUUUCUUAUUUGAAAGCUUUACUCUAGUGAAAAUCGUUUUCAAAGGAAAACAUAAAAUUUCAAAAGCAUUAGGCUUCGAGUGCUCCGCCUGUAAACUGGUAGAAAGCACAUAACAGUAUCCAACUUCACAAAUAAUAUGCAAAUAUGAAUUUCAUUCAUAUGCAAAUUGUAAACAUCCUUAGAGCAACUAAAAAUGUAUGUAAAAGCAAAUAAGUAUGAAACACAACGAAAUAUGAAAAUCGUAUAAUAAUUGUGCGAAUGGUUUUUAUGCUCAGAAUUGUUCAGAAAGAAAGUCUGAUGUUUUAAGCUACAAAAUCGUUCAUAACUUUUGCUUAACACUAUGAAAAACUAAAACCAACGCAAGUUUUACCAAGUUUCUUUGUUUUAGUGAGUUUAAAACAUUGGAUUCAAGAUAUUCAAAUUCAUUUCCAUUUAAAAACCUGCUAAAACAACGCUUUCAUAUUUUAAAGCUUAACUCCAGUGAAAAUCGUUUUCAAAGCAAAACAUAAAAUUUCAAAAGCAUUAGGCUUCGAGUGCUCCCCUGUAAACUGGUAGAAAGCACAUAACAAUAUCAAACUUCACAAAUAAUAUCCAAAUAUGAAUUUCAUUCAUAUGUAAUUCCUAAACAUCCUUAGAGCACCUAAAAAUGUAUCAAAAAUAAAAUAAGUAUGAAACACAACGAAAUAUUAAAAUCAUGCAAUAAUUGUGCGAAUGGUUUUUAUGCCCAGAAUUGUUCAGAAACAAAGUCUGAUGUUUUAAGCUGCAAAAUCCUUUAUAACUUUCACUUUACACUAUGAAAAACUAAAACCAACGCAAGUUUUACCAAGUUUCUUUGUUUGAGUGAGUUUAAAACAUUAGAUUCAAGAUAUUCAAAUUUAUUUACAUUUAAAAACCUGCUCAAACAAUGCUUUCAUAUUUUAAAACUUGACUCCAGUGAAAAUCAUUUUCAAAGGAAACAUAAAAUUUCAAAAGUAUUAGGUUUCGAGUGCUCCACCUAUAAACUGCUAAAACAAUUUAGCACACAAUUAUUCACAUUAAGCACCAACAACUUCACAAAUAAUAUCCAAAUAUGAAGAUCAUUCAUAUGUAAUUCCUCAACUCCUUAGAGCGCAUAAAAUUUGUAUCUAAAAGAAAAUAAGUAUGAACACAAUGAAAAAUUAAAAUCGUGCAAUAAUUGUGCGAAUGGUUUUUAUGCCCAGAAUUGUUUAGAAAUAAAGUCUGAUGUUUUAAGCUGCAAAAUCCUUUAUAACUUUCGCUUAACACUAUAAGAAACUAAAACCAAUGCAAGUUUUACCAAGUUUCUUUGUUUGAGCAAGUUUAAAACAUUGGAUUCAAGAUUUUCAAAUUCAUUUCCAUUUAAAAACCUGCUAAAACAAUGCUUUCUUAUUUUAAAGCUUGACUCCAGUGAAAAUCAUUUUCAAAGCAAAACAUAAAAUUUCAAAAGCAUUACGUUUCGAGUGCUCCCCCUGUAAACUGGUAGAAAGCACAAAAUGAUAUUCAACUUCAGAAAAAUAUCCAAAUAUGAAUUUUAUUCAUAUGUAAUUCCUAAACAUCCUUAGAACACCUACAAAUGUAUCUAAAGGCAAAUAAGUAUGAAACACAAUGAAAUAUUAAAAUAGUGCAAUAAUUGUGCGAAUGGUUUGUAUGCCCAGUAUUAUUCAGAAACAAAGUCUGAUGUUUUUAGCUGUAAAAUCUUUUAUAACUUUCGCUUAACAGUAUGUAAAACUAAAACCAACGCAAGUUUUACCAAGUUUCUUUGUUUGAGUGAGUUUAAAACAUUGGAUUCAAGAUAUUCAAAUUCAUUUCCAUUUAAAAACCUGCUAAAACAAUGCUUUCUUAUUUUAAAGCUUGACUCUAAUGAAAAUCAUUUUCAAAGGAAAACAUAAAAUUUCAAAAGCAUUAGGCUUCGAGUGCUCCCCAUAUAAACUGCUAGCAAACAAUUAUUCACAUUAAGCACCAAUAACAACUUCAUAAAAAAAUCCAAAUAUGAAGAUCAUUCAUAUGUAAUUCCUUAAAAUCCUUAGAGCACCUAAAAAUGUAUCUAAAAGCAAAUAAAUAUGAAACACAGCGAAAAAUUAAAAUCGUGCGAUAAUUGUGCGAAUGGUUUUUAUGCCCAAAAUUGUUCAAAAGCAAAAGUGUAAUGUUUUAAACUUCGAAAUCCUUUAUAACUUACACUUAACACCAUGAAAAACAACAACAAAAUUAAAAUCACGCGAAAAUUGUUCGACUGUUUUUUAUGCCCAAAAUUGUUCGAAAAUUAAGUCUGAUGUUUUGAGCUUCAAAUCCUUUCUAAGUUACGCUUAACACUGUGAAAAAUUAAAAACCAAUGUUAGUUUUACCUAGUUUCAUUGUUUGAGCAGGUUUAAAACGUUCGAUUCAAUAGAUUCAAAUUCAUUUGCAUUUAAAAACCUUCUAAAACAAUUCCUUCAUAUUUUAAAGCUGGACUAUAGAGAAAAUCAAAUUCGAAGAAAAACAAAAAAAUUCAAAAGCAUUAGGCUUUUGCUGCUCCUUCUAUAAACUGCUAAAACAAGUUAGCAGACCAGUAAACACAUCAGGCGCCAAUAACAACUUCACAAAUAAUAUCCAAAUAUCAAGAUCAUUCACAUGUAAACUCACAAGUUCCUUAGAGCACCUAAAAAUGUAUCUAAAAGCCAAUAAGUAUGAAACACAACGAAAAAUUCAAAUGUUGCAAAAAUGGUUUUUAUGCCACAAUUUUGAAAUUUUGCAAAUGGUUUUUUCUGCCCAAAAUUGUUCAAAAAUGAAAUCGGAUGUUUUAAGCUUCAAAAUCCAUUAUAACUUACACUUAACACUGUGAAAAAUUAAAACUAAUGCAAGUUUUAUCAUGUUUUUUUAUUUUAGCAAGUUUAAAACAUCGUAUUCAAGAUAUUCAAAUUCGUUUUCGUUUAAAAACCUGCUAAAACAAUGCUUUCAUAUUUUAAAGCUUUACUCCAGUGAAAAUCAUUUUCAAGGCAAAACAUAAAAUUAUAAAAGCAUUAGGCUUCGAGUGCUCCCCUUAUAAACUGCUAAAAUAAUUUAACACACAAUUAAUCACAACAAGCACCAAUAACAACUUCAUAAAUAAUAUCCAAAUAUGAAGAUCACUCAUAUGUAAUUCCUCAAAUCCUUAGAGCACCUAAAAUGUAUCUAAAAAGCAAAUAAGUAUGAAACACGAGCGAAAAAUUAAAAUCGUGCGAUAAUCGUGCGAAUGGUUUUUAUGCCCAGAAUUGUUCAGAAACAAAGUCUGAUGUUUUUAAGCUGCAAAAUCCUUUAUAACUUUCACUUACACUACGAAAAUUAAAACCAACGCAAGUUUUACCAAGUUUCUUUGUUUGAGUGAGUUUAAAACAUUGAUUCAAGAUAUUCAAAUUAAUUUCCAUUUAAAAACCUCUAAAACAAUGCUUUCAUAUUUUAAAAGCUUGACUCCAGUGAAAAUCAUUUUCACAGGAAAACAUAAAAUUUCAAAAGCAUUAGGCUUUCGAGUGCUCCCUGUAAACUGUAAAACAGUUUAGCCAUAUUUAUUCAAUAAGCACGAUAACAACUUCAUAAAUAAUAUCCAAAUAUGAAGAUCACUCAUAUGUAAAUCCUAAACAUCCUUAGAGCACCUAAAAAUGUAUCUAAAAGCAAAUAAGUAUGAAACACAACGAAAUAUUAAAAUCGUGCAAUAAUUGUGCGAAUAGUUUUUAUGCCCAGAAUUGUUCAGAAACAAAGUCUGAUGUUUUAAGCUGCAAAAUCCUUUAUAACUUUCGCUUAACACUAUGAAAAACUAAAACCAACGCAAGUUUUACCAAGUUUCUUUGUUUGAGUGAGUUUAAAACAUUGGAUUCCAGAUAUUCAAAUUCAUUUCCAUUUAAAAACCUGCUAAAACAAUGCUUUCAUAUUUUAAAGCUUGACUCCAGUGAAAAUCAUUUUCAAAGGAAAACAUAAAAUUUCAAAAGCAUUAGGCUUCGAGUGCUCCCCAUAUAAACAGCUAAAACAAUUUAGCAAACAAUUAUUCACAUUAAGCACGAAUAACAACUUUAUAAAUAAUAUCCAAAUAUGAAGAUCAUUCAUAUGUAAUUCCUCAAAAUCUUUAGAGCACCUAAAAAUGUAUCUAAAAGCAAAUAAGUAUGAAACACAGCGAAAAAUUAAAAUCGUGCGAUAAUUGUGCGAAUGGUUUUUAUGCUCAGAAUUGUUCAAAACCAAAAGUCUGAUGUUUUAAACUUCGAAAUCCUUUAUAACUUACACUUAACACCAUGAAAAACAACAAGAAAAUUAAAAUUACGUGAAAAUUGUUCGAAUGUUUUUUAUGCCCAGAAUUGUUCGAAAACAAUGUCUGAUAUUUUGAGUUUCAAAAUCCUUUCUAAGUUACACUUAAAACUGUGAAAAAAUUAAAAACCAAAGCUAGUUUUACCUUGUUUCAUUGUUUGAGCAGGUUUAAAACGUUCGAUUCAAUAGAUUCAAAUUCAUUUUUAUUUAAAAACCUUCUAAAACAAUUUUUUCAUAUUUUAAAGCUGGGCUAUAGGGAAAAUCAUAUUCAAAGAAAAACAUAAAAUUUCAAAAGUAUUAGGCUUUUAGUGCUCCUUCUAUAAACUGCUAAAACAAGUUAGCAGACCACUAAUCACAUCAGGUGCGAGUAACAACUUCACAAAUAAUAUCCAAAUAUCAAGAUCAUUUACAUGUAAUCUCACAAGUUCCUUAGAGCACCUUAAAAUGUAUCUAAAAGCCAAUAAGUAUGAAACACAACGAAAAAUUCAAAUGUUGCAAAAAUGGUUUUUAUGCCACAAUUUUGAAAUUUUGCAAAUGGUUUUUUCUGCCCAAAAUUGUUCAAAAAUGAAAUCGGAUGUUUUAAGCUUCAAAAUCCUUUAUAACUUACACUUAACACUGUGAAAAAUUAAAACCAAUGUAAGUUUUACAAUGUUUUUUUAUUUCAGCAAGUUUAAAACAUCGGAUUCAAGAUAUUCAAAUACAUUUCCGUUUAAAAACAUGCUAAAACAAUGCUUUCAUAUUUUAAAGCUUGACUCCAGUGAAAAUCAUUUUCAAAGCAAAACAUAAAAUUCUAAAAGCAUUAGGCUUCGAGUGCUCCCUUUAUAAACUGCUAAAAUAAUUUAGCACACAAUUGAUCACAUCAAGCACCAAUAACAACUCCACAAAUAAUAUUCAAAUAUGAAGAUCAUUCAUAUGUAGUUCCUCAACUCCUUAGAGCACCUAAAUUUGUAUCUAAAAGAAAAUAAGUAUGAACACAAUGAAAAAUUAAAAUCUUGCAAUAAUUGUGCGAAUGGUUUUUAUGCCCAGAAUUGUUCAGAAAAAAGUUUGAUGAUUUAAGCUGCAAAAUCCUUUAUAACUUUCGCUUAACACUAUGAAAAACUAAAACCAACGCAAGUUUUACCAAGUUUCUUUGUUUGAGCAAGUUUAAAACCUUGGAUUCAAGAUUUUCAAAUUCAUUUCCAUUUAAAAACCUGCUAAAACAAUGCUUUCUUAUUUUAAAGCUUGACACCAAUGAAAAUCAUUUUCAAAGCAAAACAUAAAAUUUCAAAAGCAUUAGGCUUCGAGUGCUCCCCCUGUAAACUGGUAGAAAGCACAAAACGAUAUCCAACUUCACAAAUAAUAUCCAAAUAUGAGUUUCAUUCAUAUGUAAUUCCUCAAAAUCCUUAGAGCACCUAAAAAUGUAUCUAAAAAAGCAAAUAAGUACGGAACGCAGCGAAAAAUUAAAAUCGUGCGAUAAUCGUGCGAAUGGUUUUUAUGCCCAGAAUUGUUCAGAAACAAAGUCUGAUGUUUUUAAGCUGCAAAAUCCUUUAUAACUUUCACUUAACACUACGAAAAUUAUGAAAACCAACGCAAGUUUUGCCGAGUUUCUUUGUUUGAGUGAGUUUAAAACAUUGGAUUCGAGAUAUUCAAAUUAAUUUCCACUUAAAAACCUGCUAAAACAAUGCCUUCAUAUUUAAAGCUUGACUCCAGUGAAAAUCAUUUUCGCAGGAAAACAUAAAAUUUCAAAAGCAUUAGGCUUCGAGUGCUCCCCCUGUGAACUGCUAAAACAGUUUAGCACAUAAUUAUUCACAUUAAGCACCGAUAACAACUUCAUAAAUAAUAUCCAAAUAUGAAGAUCAUUCAUAUGUAAUUCCUCAAAAUCCUUAAAGCACCUAAAAAUGUAUCUAAAAGCAAAUAAUUAUGAAACACAGCGAAAAAUUAAAAUCGUGCGAUAUUUGUGCGAAUGGUUUUUAUGCCCAAAAUUGUUCAAAACCAAAAGUCUGAUGUUUUAAACUUCGAAAUCCUUUAGAACCUACACUUAACACCAUGAAAAACAACAAGAAAAUUAAAAUCAUGCGAAAAUUGUUCGAAUGUUUUUUAUGCCCAGAAUUGUUCGAAAACAAAGUAUGAUAUUUUGAGCUUCAAAAUCCUUUCUAAGUUUCUUUGUUUGAGCAAGUUUAAAACAUUGGAUUCAAGAUUUUGAAAUUCAUUUCCAUUUAAAAACCUGCUAAAACAAUGCUUUCCUAUUUUAAAGCUUCACUCCAGUGAAAAUCGUUUUCAAAGCAAAACAUAAAAUUUCAAAAAGCAUUAGGCUUCGAGUACUCCCCUGUAAACUGGUAGAAAGCACAAAACGAUAUCCAACUUCAUAAAUAAUAUCCAAAUAUGAAGAUCACUCAUAUGUAAUUCCUCAAAAUCCUUAGAGCACCUAAAAAUGUAUCUAAAAAGCAAAUAAGUAUGAAACGCAGCGAAAAAUUAAAAUCGUGCGAUAAUCGUGCGAAUGGUUUUUAUGCCCAGAAUUGUUCAGAAACAAAGUCUGAUGUUUUUAAGCUGCAAAAUCCUUUAUAACUUUCACUUAACACUACGAAAAUUAUGAAAACCAACGCAAGUUUUGCCGAGUUUCUUUGUUUGAGUGAGCUUAAAACAUUGGAUUCGAGAUAUUCAAAUUAAUUUCCACUUAAAAACCUGCUAAAACAAUGCCUUCAUAUUUUAAAGCUUGACUCCAGUGAAAAUCAUUUUCACAGGAAAACAUAAAAUUUCAAAAGCAUUAGGCUUCGAGUGCUCCCCCUGUGAACUGCUAAAACAGUUUAGCACAUAAUUAUUCACAUUAAGCACCGAUAACAACUUCAUAAAUAAUAUCCAAAUAUGAAGAUCACUCAUAUGUAAUUCCUCAAAAUCCUUAGAGCACCUAAAAAUGUAUCUAAAAAGCAAAUAAGUAUGAAACGCAGCGAAAAAUUAAAAUCGUGCGAUAAUCGUGCGAAUGGUUUUUAUGCCCAGAAUUGUUCAGAAACAAAGUCUGAUGUUUUUAAGCUGCAAAAUCCUUUAUAACUUUCACUUAACACUACGAAAAUUAUGAAAACCAACGCAAGUUUUGCCGAGUUUCUUUGUUUGAGUGAGUUUAAAACAUUGGAUUCGAGAUAUUCAAAUUAAUUUCCACUUAAAAACCUGCUAAAACAAUGCCUUCAUAUUUUAAAGCUUGACUCCAGUGAAAAUCAUUUUCACAGGAAAACAUAAAAUUUCAAAAGCAUUAGGCUUCGAGUGCUCCCCCUGUGAACUGCUAAAACAGUUUAGCACAUAAUUAUUCACAUUAAGCACCGAUAACAACUUCAUAAAUAAUAUCCAAAUAUGAAGAUCACUCAUAUGUAAUUCCUCAAAAUCCUUAGAGCACCUAAAAAUGUAUCUAAAAAGCAAAUAAGUACGAAACGCAGCGAAAAAUUAAAAUCGUGCGAUAAUCGUGCGAAUGGUUUUUAUGCCCAGAAUUGUUCAGAAACAAAGUCUGAUGUUUUUAAGCUGCAAAAUCCUUUAUAACUUUCACUUAACACUACGAAAAUUAUUAAAACCAACGCAAGUUUUACCGAGUUUCUUUGUUUGAGUGAGUUUAAAACAUUGGAUUCGAGAUAUUCAAAUUAAUUUCCACUUAAAAACCUGCUAAAACAAUGCCUUCAUAUUUUAAAGCUUGACUCCAGUGAAAAUCAUUUUCACAGGAAAACAUAAAAUUUCAAAAGCAUUAGGCUUCGAGUGCUCCCCCUGUGAACUGCUAAAACAGUUUAGCACAUAAUUAUUCACAUCAGGUGCGAGUAACAACUUCACAAAUAAUAUCCAAAUAUCAAGAUCAUUUACAUGUAAUCUCACAAGUUCCUUAGAGCACCUUAAAAUGUAUCUAAAAGCCAAUAAGUAUGAAACACAACGAAAAAUUCAAAUGUUGCAAAAAUGGUUUUUAUGCCACAAUUUUGAAAUUUUGCAAAUGGUUUUUUCUGCCCAAAAUUGUUCAAAAAUGAAAUCGGAUGUUUUAAGCUUCAAAAUCCUUUAUAACUUACACUUAACACUGUAAAAUUAAAACCAAUGUAAGUUUUACAGAUGUUUGUAUUUCAGCAAGUUUAAAACAUCGGAUUCAAGAUAUUUAAAUACAUUUCCGUUAAAAGAACAUGCUAAAACAAUGCUUUCGUAUUUUAAAGCUUGACUCCAGUGAAAAUCAUUUUCAAAGCAAAACAUAAAAUUCUAAAAGCAUUAGCCUCGAUUGCUCCCUUAUAAACUGCUAAAAUAAUUUAGCACACAAUCAAUCACAUCAAGCACCAAUAACAACUUCACAAAUAAUAUCCAAAUAUGAAGAUCAUUCAUAUGUAAUUCCUCAACUCCUUAGAGAGCCUAAAUUUGUAUCUAAAAGAAAAUAAGUAUGAACACGAUGAAAAAUUAAAAUCGUGCAAUAAUUGUGCGAAUGGUUUUUCUGCCCAGAAUUGUUUAGAAACAAAGUAUGAUGUUUUAAGCUGCAAAAUCCUUCGUAACUUUCGCUUAACACUAUGAAAAAUUAAAACCAACGCAUGUUUUACCAAGUUUCUUUGUUUGAGCAAGUUUAAAACAUUGGAUUCAAGAUUUUCAAAUUCAUUUCCAUUUAAAAACCUGCUAAAACAACGCUUUCUUAUUUUAAAGCUUGACUCCAGUGAAAAUCGUUUUCACAGCAAAACAUAAAAUUUCAAAAGCAUUAGGCUUCGAGUGCUCACCCUGUAAACUGGUAGAAAGCACAUAACAAUAUCCAACUUGACAAAUAAUAUCGAAAUAUGAAUUUCAUUCAUAUGCAAUUCCUAACCAUCCUUAGAGCACCUAAAAAUGUAUCUAAAAGCAAAUAAGUAUGAAACACGAUGAAAAAUUAAAAUCGUGCAAUAAUUGUGCGAAUGUUUUUUAUGCCCAGAAUUGUUUAGAAACAAAGUCUGAUGUUUUUAGCUGCAAAAUCCUUUAUAACUUUCGCUUAACAGUAUGAAAAACUAAAACCAACGGAAGUUUUACCAAGUUUCUUUGUUUGAGUGAGUUUAAAACAUUGGAUUCAAGAUAUUGAAAUUUAUUUCCAUUUAAAAACCUGCUAAAACAAUGCUUUCUUAUUUUAAAGCUUGACUCUAAUGAAAAUCGUUUUCAAAGCAAAACAUAAAAUUUCAAAAGCAUUAGGCUUCUAGUGCUCCCUCUGUAAACUGGUAGAAUGCAAGUUUUAUCAUGUUUUUUUAUUUUAGCAAGUUUAAAACAUCGUAUUCAAGAUAUUCAAAUUCGUUUUCGUUUAAAAACCUGCUAAAACAAUGCUUUCAUAUUUUAAAGCUUUACUCCAGUGAAAAUCAUUUUCAAGGCAAAACAUAAAAUUAUAAAAGCAUUAGGCUUCGAGUGCUCCCCUUAUAAACUGCUAAAAUAAUUUAACACACAAUUAAUCACAACAAGCACCAAUAACAACUUCACAAAUAAUAUCCAAAUAUGAAGAUCAUUCAUAUGUAAUUCCUCAACACCUUAGAGCGCCUAAAUUUGUAUUUAAAAGAAAAUAAGUAUGAACACGAUGAAAAAUUAAAAUCGUGCAAUAAUUGUGCGAAUGGUUUUUCUGCCAAGAAUUUUUCAGAAACAAAGUCUGAUGUUUUAAGCUGUAAAAUCCUUCAUAACUUUCGCUUAACACUAUGAAAAACUAAAACCAACGCAAGUUUUACCAAGUUUCUUUGUUUGAGCAAGUUUAAAACAUUAGAUUCAAGAUUUUCAAAUUCAUUUCCAUUUAAAAACCUACUAAAACAAUGCUUUCUUAUUUUAAAGCUUCACUCCAGUGAAAAUUAUUUUCAAAGCAAAACAUAAAAUUUCAAAAGCAUUAGGCUCCGAGUGCUCCCCUUGUAAACUGGUAGAAAGCACAUAACGAUAUCCAACUUCACAAAUAAUAUCCAAAUAUGAAUUUUAUUCAUAUGUAAAUCCUAAACAUCCUUAGAGCACCUAAAAAUGUAUCUAAAAGCAAAUAAGUAUGAAACACAACGAAAUAUUAAAAUCGUGCAAUAAUUGUGCGAAUGGUUUUUAUGCCCAGAAUUGUUCAGAAACAAAGUCUGAUGUUUUAAGCUGCAAAAUCCUUUAUAACUUUCGCUUAACACUAUGAAAAACUAAAACCAACGCAAGUUUUACCAAGUUUCUUUGUUUGAGUGAGUUUAAAACAUUGGAUUCGAGAUAUUCAAAUUCAUUUCCAUUUAAAAACCUACUAAAACAAUGCUUUCAUAUUUAAAGCUUGACUCCAGUGAAAAUCAUUUCAAAGGAAAACAUAAAAUUCAAAGGCAUUAGGCUUCGAGUGCUCCCCAUAUAAACAGCUAAAACAAUUUAGCAAACAAUUAUUCACAUUAAGCACCAAUAACAACUUCAUAAAUAAUAUCCAAAUAUGAAGAUCAUUCAUAUGUAAUUCCUCAAAAUCUUUAGAGCACCUAAAAAUGUAUCUAAAAGCAAAUAAGUAUGAAACACAGCGAAAAAUUAAAAUCGUGCGAUAAUUGUGCGAAUGGUUUUUAUGCUCAGAAUUAUUCAAAACCAAAAGUCUGAUGUUUUAAACUUCGAAAUCCUUUAUAACUUACACUUAACACCAUGAAAAACAACAAGAAAAUUAAAAUUACGUGAAAAUUGUUCGAAUGUUUUUUAUGCCCAGAAUUGUUCGAAAACAAAGUCUGAUAUUUUGAGUUUCAAAAUCCUUUCUAAGUUACACUUAAAACUGUGAAAAAAUUAAAAACCAAAGCUAGUUUUACCUUGUUUCAUUGUUUGAGCAGGUUUAAAACGUUCGAUUCAAUAGAUUCAAAUUCAUUUUUAUUUAAAAACCUUCUAAAACAAUUUUUUGAUAUUUUAAAGCUGGACUAUAGGAAAAAUCAUAUUCAAAGAAAAACAUAAAAUUUCAAAAGAAUUAGGCUUUUAGUGCUCCUUCUAUAAACUGCUAAAACAAGUUAGCAGACCACUAAUCACAUCAGGUGCGAGUAACAACUUCACAAAUAAUAUCCAAAUAUCAAGAUCAUUUACAUGUAAUCUCACAAGUUCCUUAGAGCACCUUAAAAUGUAUCUAAAAGCCAAUAAGUAUGAAACACAACGAAAAAUUCAAAUGUUGCAAAAAUGGUUUUUAUGCCACAAUUUUGAAAUUUUGCAAAUGGUUUUUUCUGCCCAAAAUUGUUCAAAAAUGAAAUCGGAUGUUUUAAGCUUCAAAAUCCUUUAUAACUUACACUUAACACUGUGAAAAAUUAAAACCAAUGUAAGUUUUACAAUGUUUUUUUAUUUCAGCAAGUUUAAAACAUCGGAUUCAAGAUAUUCAAAUACAUUUCCGUUUAAAAAUAUGCUAAAACAAUGCUUUCGUAUUUUAAAGCUUGACUCCAGUGAAAAUCAUUUUCAAAGCAAAACAUAAAAUUCUAAAAGAAUUAGGCUUCGAGUGCUCCCCUUAUAAACUGCUAAAAUAAUUUAGCACACAAUUGAUCACAUCAAGCACCAAUAACAACUUCACAAAUAAUAUUCAAAUAUGAAGAUCAUUCAUAUGUAGUUCCUCAACUCCUUAGAGCACCUAAAUUUGUAUCUAAAAGAAAAUAAGUAUGAACACAAUGAAAAAUUAAAAUCUUGCAAUAAUUGUGCGAAUGGUUUUUAUGCCCAGAAAUGUUCAGAAAAAAGUCUGAUGUUUUAAGCUGCAAAAUCCUUUAUAACUUUCGCUAACACUAUGAAAACUAAAACCAACGCAAGUUUUACCAAGUUUCUUUGUUUUGAGCAAGUUUAAAACCUUGGAUUCAAGAAUUUUCAAAUUCAUUUUCCAUUUAAAAACCUGCUAAAACAAUGCCUUCAUAUUUUAAAGCUUGACUCCAGUGAAAAUCAUUUUCACAGGAAAACAUAAAAUUUCAAAAGCAUUAGGCUUCGAGUGCUCCCCCUGUGAACUGCUAAAACAGUUUAGCACAUAAUUAUUCACAUUAAGCACCGAUAACAACUUCAUAAAUAAUAUCCAAAUAUGAAGAUCACUCAUAUGUAAUUCCUCAAAAUCCUUAGAGCACCUAAAAAUGUAUCUAAAAAGCAAAUAAGUAUGAAACGCAGCGAAAAAUUAAAAUCGUGCGAUAAUCGUGCGAAUGGUUUUUAUGCCCAGAAUUGUUCAGAAACAAAGUCUGAUGUUUUUAAGCUGCAAAAUCCUUUAUAACUUUCACUUAACACUACGAAAAUUAUGAAAACCAACGCAAGUUUUGCCGAGUUUCUUUGUUUGAGUGAGUUUAAAACAUUGGAUUCGAGAUAUUCAAAUUAAUUUCCACUUAAAAACCUGCUAAAACAAUGCCUUCAUAUUUUAAAGCUUGACUCCAGUGAAAAUCAUUUUCACAGGAAAACAUAAAAUUUCAAAAGCAUUAGGCUUCGAGUGCUCCCCCUGUGAACUGCUAAAACAGUUUAGCACAUAAUUAUUCACAUUAAGCACCGAUAACAACUUCAUAAAUAAUAUCCAAAUAUGAAGAUCACUCAUAUGUAAUUCCUCAAAAUCCUUAGAGCACCUAAAAAUGUAUCUAAAAAGCAAAUAAGUACGAAACGCAGCGAAAAAUUAAAAUCGUGCGAUAAUCGUGCGAAUGGUUUUUAUGCCCAGAAUUGUUCAGAAACAAAGUCUGAUGUUUUUAAGCUGCAAAAUCCUUUAUAACUUUCACUUAACACUACGAAAAUUAUUAAAACCAACGCAAGUUUUACCGAGUUUCUUUGUUUGAGUGAGUUUAAAACAUUGGAUUCGAGAUAUUCAAAUUAAUUUCCACUUAAAAACCUGCUAAAACAAUGCCUUCAUAUUUUAAAGCUUGACUCCAGUGAAAAUCAUUUUCGCAGGAAAACAUAAAAUUUCAAAAGCAUUAGGCUUCGAGUGCUCCCCCUGUGAACUGCUAAAACAGUUUAGCACAUAAUUAUUCACAUUAAGCACCGAUAACAACUUCAUAAAUAAUAUCCAAAUAUGAAGAUCACUCAUAUGUAAUUCCUCAAAAUCCUUAGAGCACCUAAAAAUGUAUCUAAAAAGCAAAUAAGUACGAAACGCAGCGAAAAAUUAAAAUCGUGCGAUAAUCGUGCGAAUGGUUUUUAUGCCCAGAAUUGUUCAGAAACAAAGUCUGAUGUUUUUAAGCUGCAAAAUCCUUUAUAACUUUCACUUAACACUACGAAAAUUAUUAAAACCAACGCAAGUUUUACCGAGUUUCUUUGUUUGAGUGAGUUUAAAACAUUGGAUUCGAGAUAUUCAAAUUAAUUUCCACUUAAAAACCUGCUAAAACAAUGCCUUCAUAUUUUAAA